GGUGAUUGUGAUAAUGUGUGAUAAGUGUGCAGUUUAACUUGAAAGUAGUUUAAUUUAUAUGUUGCUGUAUUGUUUUAAAUUAUAUGUGAAUCAGUUUGUCACAGUCUAGUGAUACUGAUAAGAAUGACAGCCAAAUAACCUAGCAAAUAACUGUUUUAUUAGUUGUUGAAUACUAGCGUUUUGGCCAAGAAUAGUUGGAGAUUUGGAGGUGUUAGUCUAAGAUUGCUUUUAUAUUGUGUC
rnacentral:lncRNA from 1 species